rnacentral:rRNA from 1 species
CCUAAGGCGAGGCCGACAGGCGUAGUCGAUGGACAACGGGUUGAUAUUCCCGUACCCGUGUGUGGGCGCCCGUGACGAAUCAGCGGUACUAACCACCCAAAACCGGAUCGAUCACUCCCCUUCGGGGGUGUGGAGUUCUGGGGCUGCGUGGGAACUUCGCUGGUAGUAGUCAAGCGAAGGGGUGACGCAGGAAGGUAGCCGUACCAGUCAGUGGUAACACUGGGGCAAGCCGGUAGCUAAUCCUGAGAGGUGACGCAUAGCCGGUUGAGGCGAAUUCGGUGAUCCUCUGCUGCCAAGAAAAGCCUCUAGCGAGCACACACACGGCCCGUACCCCAAACCGACACAGGUGGUCAGGUAGAGCAUACCAAGGCGUACGAGAUAACUAUGGUUAAGGAACUCGGCAAAAUGCCCCCGUAACUUCGGGAGAAGGGGGACCGGAAUAUCGUGAACACCCUUGCGGUGGGAGCGGGAUCCGGUCGCAGAAACCAGUGAGGAGCGACUGUUUACUAAAAACACAGGUCCGUGCGAAGUCGCAAGACGAUGUAUACGGACUGACGCCUGCCCGGUGCUGGAAGGUUAAGAGGACCCGUUAACCCGCAAGGGUGAAGCGGAGAAUUUAAGCCCCAGUAAACGGCGGUGGUAACUAUAACCAUCCUAAGGUAGCGAAAUUCCUUGUCGGGUAAGUUCCGACCUGCACGAAUGGCGUAACGACUUCUCAACUGUCUCAACCAUAGACUCGGCGAAAUUGCACUACGAGUAAAGAUGCUCGUUACGCGCGGCAGGACGAAAAGACCCCGGGACCUUCACUACAACUUGGUAUUGAUGUUCGGUACGGUUUGUGUAGGAUAGGUGGGAGACUGUGAAACCUCGACGCCAGUUGGGGCGGAGUCGUUGUUGAAAUACCACUCUGAUCGUAUUGGGCAUCUAACCUCGAACCCUGAAUCGGGUUUAGGGACAGUGCCUGGCGGGUAGUUUAACUGGGGCGGUUGCCUCCUAAAAUGUAACGGAGGCGCCCAAAGGUUCCCUCAACCUGGACGGCAAUCAGGUGGCGAGUGUAAAUGCACAAGGGAGCUUGACUGCGAGACUUACAAGUCAAGCAGGGACGAAAGUCGGGAUUAGUGAUCCGGCACCCCCGAGUGGAAGGGGUGUCGCUCAACGGAUAAAAGGUACCCCGGGGAUAACAGGCUGAUCUUCCCCAAGAGUCCAUAUCGACGGGAUGGUUUGGCACCUCGAUGUCGGCUCGUCGCAUCCUGGGGCUGGAGCAGGUCCCAAGGGUUGGGCUGUUCGCCCAUUAAAGCGGCACGCGAGCUGGGUUUAGAACGUCGUGAGACAGUUCGGUCUCUAUCCGCCGCGCGCGUCAGAAACUUGAGGAAACCUGUCCCUAGUACGAGAGGACCGGGACGGACGAACCUCUGGUGCACCAGUUGUCCCGCCAGGGGCACCGCUGGAUAGCCACGUUCGGUCAGGAUAACCGCUGAAAGCAUCUAAGCGGGAAACCUUCUCCAAGAUCAGGUUUCUCACCCACUUGGUGGGAUAAGGCCCCCCGCAGAACACGGGUUCAAUAGGUCAGACCUGGAAGCUCAGUAAUGGGUGUAGGGAACUGGUGCUAACCGGCCGAAAACUUACAACA